rnacentral:ncRNA from 1 species
AAAUUUUCUUGCGAGUUUUUCAGACGGGGAUACCUGGACAAGAUCGAGACCAGGCUGGAUAUUAUUUUAUAACCUUUCACCAAGAAGAGGAAAGGACCCUGAAGACCCUAUGAAGAUCCCUGAAGACUCAUUGAAGACUGCCUGUAAAAAAAAAAAAAAUCAGGCGAAGGAAAAGCAAUUUUAUAUAAAUUUCAAAUAAACACCGCUGAUCCGGGCCCGCCCCCUUGGUUGCCGGUAGCUAGAUAAAUUUUUUUUUCUUAUCAUUGGCUUUUGUUUUAAUUAAAAUUUUUCUUGACUGAUUAGUCCUAUUCAUUUUGUUUUUAUUGGCUUUAAGUCCGCAAUGCUAACGCGGGAGCGGACAGGGGAUUAUUUAUUUUUCAGUCUUUUAACAUACAUCCCCAACUCAAAAGUUGUCCCUAUCUACUAUCUAGCGAAACCACAGCCAAGGGAACGGGCUUGGAAAAAUCAGCGGGGAAAGAAGACCCUGUUGAGCUUGACUCUAGUCUGACUCUGUGAAGAGACAUGAGAGGUGUAGCAUAAGUGGGAGGCCGUGAACCCUCGCGGUUGUGUCGUGCCGUCAGUGAAAUACCACUACUUUCAUCGUUUCUUUACUUACUCGGUGAAGCGGAAAGCGGACCAUGAGUGUCCACGCUUCUAGCACUAAGUGCAAGGCCCUUCGUUGGCCCGCACGAUCUGUUCCGAGGACAGUGUCAGGCGGGGAGUUUGACUGGGGCGGUACAUCUGUCAAAUGGUAACGCAGGUGUCCUAAGGCGAGCUCAGCGAGGACAGAAACCUCGCGUAGAGCAAAAGGGCAAAUGCUUGCUUGAUCUUGAUUUUCAGUACGAUUACAGACCGCGAAAGCGGGGCCCCUCGAUCCUUUUGACUUUAAGAGUUUAAGC